CGUCUAUAUACGUAUAGCAUAUCAAUAAGCGGAGGAAAAGAAACUAACUAGGAUUCCCUUCAGUAACGGCGAGUGAAGCGGGAAGAGCUCAAACUUGAAAUCUUCAAGGUUCUACCUUGACGAAUUGUAGUUUAUAGAAGUGUUUUCUGUUAGUGGAGUGGCAAAAGUUCUUUGGAAUAGGACAUCAUAGAGGGUGAGAAUCCCGUAUUUGGUCAUUCCUCUUAGCGUUGUGAUACACUUUCAACGAGUCGGAUUGUUUGGGAAUGCAGUCCAAAAUGGGUGGUAAAUUUCAUCUAAAGCUAAAUAUUGGCGAGAGACCGAUAGCGAACAAGUACCGUGAGGGAAAGAUGAAAAGAACUUUGAAAAGAGAGUUAAACAGUACGUGAAAUUGUCAAAAGGGAAGCGUUUGACACCAGUGUUGUUUUUCCGAAAAUCAAUUACGAAUGUUUUAUUUUUGAGGAGUUAUGACUUCAUCGGCUUGCUCCUUUCUUUAUGAAACUUUCUUAAUGCACUUUUCGGUUAACAAGUCAACAUCAAUUUCUUUUGUUGUAAAAGGGUAUGAGGAAGGUGGCUUUCUUUUCGGAGAAAGUGUUUAUAGCCUUGUGCCUCUGCAAUCGGAGAGAUUGAGGUCUGCAGCGUAGAUCCUUCGGGGUUAGAUACAGUUUGUGCUAAGUUAUAGCUUUUCAUAGACAACUUGUUGACUAUGUUUAGUCUUGUAGCUUACUCGCUGAUGCUAUUUUACCUACGCUUAGGAUGUUGAUAUGCAUGACUGAUAU
rnacentral:rRNA from 1 species